rnacentral:rRNA from 1 species
GAUGAACGCUGGCGGCGUGCCUAAUACAUGCAAGUCGAGCGAAUGGAUUAAGAGCUUGCUCUUAUGAAGUUAGCGGCGGACGGGUGAGUAACACGUGGGUAACCUGCCCAUAAGACUGGGAUAACUCCGGGAAACCGGGGCUAAUAUCGGAUAACAUUUUGAACCGCAUGGUUCGAAAUUGAAAGGCGGCUUCGGCUGACACUUAUGGAUGGACCCGCGUCGCAUUAGCUAGUUGGUGAGGUAACGGCUCACCAAGACAACGAUGCGUAGCCGACCUGAGAGGGUGAUCGGCCACACUGGGACUGAGACACGGCCCAGACUCCUACGGGAGGCAGCAGUAGGGAAUCUUCCGCAAUGGACGAAAGUCUGACGGAGCAACGCCGCGUGAGUGAUGAAGGCUUUCGGGUCGUAAAACUCUGUUGUUAGGGAAGAACAAGUGCUAGUUGAAUAAGCUGGCACCUUGACGGUACCUAACCAGAAAGCCACGGCUAACUACGUGCCAGCCGCCGCCGUAA